rnacentral:rRNA from 1 species
UACGGAGGAUGCAAGCGUUAUCCGGAUUUAUUGGGUUUAAAGGGUGCGCAGGCGGACCGGUAAGUCAUAGGUGAAAACCAGCUGCUUAACAGCGGGCGUGCCUGUGAUACUGCCGGACUGGAGUACAAGAGGCGUAACCGGAAUGUGGUGUGUAGCGGUGAAAUGCUUAGAUAUGCCACAGAACGCCGAUCGUGAAGACAGGUUACGAACUUGAUACAGACGCUCAUGCACGAAAGCGUGGGUAUCAAAC